UACGUAGGGCGCGAGCGUUGUCCGGAAUUAUUGGGCGUAAAGAGCUCGUAGGCGGCCUGUCGCGUCUGCUGUGAAAUCCCGGGGCUUAACCCUGAGCUUGCAGUGGGUACGGGCAGACUAGAGUGCGGUAGGGGAGACUGGAAUUCCUGGUGUAGCGGUGAAAUGCGCAGAUAUCAGGAGGAACACCGGUGGCGAAGGCGGGUCUCUGGGCCGUAACUGACGCUGAGGAGCGAAAGCAUGGGGAGCGAACAGG
rnacentral:rRNA from 1 species